CAACACUUCUGCCACCUCCAGCUUCUCCGGGCUGCCCAUGACCUCGCUGGUGUGGAACAAGGGUCCCAGAGCACCAACAGACCCCUUGCCAUGCCCUGGCCGGUGGUUCCUGCAAGCCUCAUCCCAUCGACUUCGCUGCAGCCUUAAGUCAUGAGAAAAUAGGUUGAACUUGUGGGAACAAAACUGCUGAAAGGCAGUGUCAGCAGCACAAUGGGGAUUUCUCAGCUGCGGUGGUGGUGGUGGAGCUGCCGCAUAACAUAACAAAAACAAUGUAUGAAGACAGGCUUAGACUGGACAUCAGGAUCUACUGGAGCAAAGUCAGAAAUAAGGGUGGAUUAACCUUACAUUCACAAGUUGGAAGUGUACUCCAUGCAACAUCAUUUCCUUUAAGCUGACACUGGAUGAAAUGACUCCCGUUUAAUCUGUACCUAAGUGAAAAUACACAAGAGAAGAAGCAUUUGCGUAACUA